rnacentral:rRNA from 1 species
GGAGUUUGGGCCGUGUCUCAGUCCCAAUGUGGCCGUUCAUCCUCUCAGACCGGCUACCGAUCGUCGGCUUGGUAGGCUUUUACUCUACCAACUACCUAAUCGGACGCAGGCUCCUCGCAAAGCGAUAAAUCUUUAGUGCAGAAUCCAUGCGAACUCCGCACAACAUCCGGUAUUAGCGUCCCUUUCGGAACGUUGUCCCCGACUUUGCGGCAGAUUACCUGCGCUUUACUCACCCGUUCGCCACUAAACCCGAAGGUUCCGUUCGACUUGCAUGUGUUAAGCACGCCGCCAGCGUCGUCCUCGAGCCAUGAUCAAACUA